rnacentral:rRNA from 1 species
AUUGAACGCUGGCGGCAGGCUUAACACAUGCAAGUCGAGCGAGCGGCGGACGGGUGAGUAAUGUCUGGGAAACUGCCUGAUGGAGGGGGAUAACUACUGGAAACGGUAGCUAAUACCGCAUACCAUCAGAUGUGCCCAGAUGGGAUUAGCUAGUGGGUGGGGUAAUGGCUCACCUAGGCGACGAUCCCUAGCUGGUCUGAGAGGAUGACCAGCGGCACUGGAACUGAGACACGGGCCAGAGUCCUACGGGAGGCAGCAGUGGGGAGUAUUGCCCAAUGGGCGUAAGCCUGAUGGAGUCAUGCCGCGGGUGAGAAGAAGGCCGUCUGGUUGUAAAGCACUUUCAGCGAGGAGGCGUUAACCGCAUAAGAAGCACCGGCUAACUCCGUGCCUGCAGCCGCGGUAAUUC